rnacentral:rRNA from 1 species
CUAUAAUGCAAGUCGAGCGGAAGAAGGGAGCUUGCUCCCGGAUGUUAGCGGCGGACGGGUGAGUAACACGUGGGUAACCUGCCUGUAAGACUGGGAUAACUCCGGGAAACCGGAGCUAAUACCGGAUAGUUCCUUGAACCGCAUGGUUCAAGGAUGAAAGACGGUUUCGGCUGUCACUUACAGAUGGACCCGCGGCGCAUUAGCUAGUUGGGGGGGGGUAGGGUCUCACCAGGGCGACGAUGCGUAGCCAACCUGAGAGGGUGAUCGGCCACACUGGGACUGAGACACGGCCCAAACUCCUACGGGAGGCAGCAGUAGGGAAUCUUCCGCAAUGGACGAAAGUCUGACGGAGCACCGCCGCGUGAGUGAUGAAGGUUUUCGGAUCGUAAAGCUCUGUUGUUAGGGAAGAACAAGUGCAAGAGUAACUGCUUGCACCUUGACGGUACCUAACCAGAAGCCACGGCUAACUACGUGCCAGCAACCAC